rnacentral:rRNA from 1 species
CCUACGGGUGGCAGCAGUGAGGAAUAUUGGUCAAUGGGCGUAAGCCUGAACCAGCCAAGUCGCGUGAGGGAUGAAGGUUCUAUGGAUCGUAAACCUCUUUUAUAAGGGAAUAAAGUGUGGGACGUGUCCUGCUUUGCAUGUACCUUAUGAAUAAGGAUCGGCUAACUCCGUGCCAGCAGCCGCGGUAAUACGGAGGAUCCGAGCGUUAUCCGGAUUUAUUGGGUUUAAAGGGUGCGUAGGCGGGCUGUUAAGUCAGCGGUGAAAGUUUGUGGCUCAACCUUAAAAUUGCCGUUGAUACUGGCAGGCUUGAGUAUGUUAGAGGCAGGCGGAAUGCGUGGUGUAGCGGUGAAAUGCUUAGAUAUCACGCAGAACCCCGAUUGCGAAGGCAGCCUGC